rnacentral:rRNA from 1 species
ACACUCCUACGGGAGGCAGCAGUGGGGAAUUUUGGACAAUGGGGGCAACCCUGAUCCAGCAAUGCCGCGUGAGUGAAGAAGGCCUUCGGGUUGUAAAGCUCUUUUGUCAGGGAAGAAACGGUGGUGGCGAAUAACUACUACUAAUGACGGUACCUGAAGAAUAAGCACCGGCUAACUACGUGCCAGCAGCCGCGGUAAUACGUAGGGUGCAAGCGUUAAUCGGAAUUACUGGGCGUAAAGCGUGCGCAGGCGGUUGUGUAAGUCAGAUGUGAAAUCCCCGGGCUCAACCUGGGAAUUGCAUUUGAGACUGCACGGCUAGAGUGUGUCAGAGGGGGGUAGAAUUCCACGUGUAGCAGUGAAAUGCGUAGAUAUGUGGAGGAAUACCGAUGGCGAAGGCAGCCCCCUGGGAUAACACUGACGCUCAUGCACGAAAGCGUGGGGAGCAAACAGGAUUAGAAACCCUAGUAGUCCCA